CUACCUCCACCCCCUACUUUCCACCACAUACUCCAGAAUAGAACUGAUGAAUUAUUUAUUUGACCUGUAAUAUCAAACGGCAAACCUGUUUUGAUUGCUAAUGCAAAUAAUUCAUUUUUAGAAUAUUUACAGAUGUCCAAUAAGCACCCAAAAGGUGUAUCAUCUAUUUUAGCACAUACAUAGAAUCUCGAGGAAUUUCAGCGAGCUUUCCAGACGAGAAUGACGAUAUGGCCACCGACAGUUCGGGAUCUAUGUACAGGCCGAAUCUGCCUCCUAUACGGCAGCAUCCGGAGGAACACCAUCAUGAUAGUCAUCAUCAUCAUUUUUCAAAAGCCGUAGAGAAGCGAAGGGAAUCACUUAAACCAAUAAUGGACCGAGAACGUAAAGCAGGAAAACACGUAGAAUUAGUCAGAGGUCAGCUUUUCAUCAACAACUGUCUUUAUCACCCAGAGGAUAAUCACACCCCUACACACAGUAGAACUCACCAUGACAUGUUUUAUUAGGAUAGUUAAAUGUAUAAAUAAAUGUAGUGUUUAUAUCCUGUAAAAAAAACAAGUGUCAUAAAAAUGCGGACUGAUCCAAAAUGACACCGAAACGUGAAAAAGAAUUAUCUAUAAAUGAUUUAUAGAAGACUUUAUUCUUUUGAUGGUAAUGUAGUCGACAUACUAGUUAGGGUUGUUGUUUGCGCACUUUAUUAGUUUCAAAGUGUUUAAAGUUUCGCAUAGCUUUCUUUAGAAAAUAAGAUAAAAGUUUCGGAAAUAAAAUCAGCUUGAAAAGUAAAAUUUCAAUGGCAGAAUUCAAUGAUUUUAUUCAUCUUAUAUUUUUGCAUAAAUAAUUACUUCUUUCACUGGAUCGGGCAUAGAUUAACUGGAUAAAAAUUCAUGUAUAAACAAGAAGUUUCGUCAGUUGUUAAGACAUGCUUUUUUAUUAUUUUUCAAAUGCUGUGCCACGCAAAUGAACAUCUUGUAUCUACGUCUAGUAUUUUUCAUAAAUGUCCACUAGUAUUUAUCAACAUUUUUGAAUUUCAAGUUCAGUUUCAUUUGCAUAUACUAUACUAUUUUCUUGCUAACUUUAUCAACUGUCUUUUUAUCCAAAAUACAAAAGCUUCUUAAUUUCUUUCAUCGCACUGUUUUAGAUCAGUGAAUACUAAUAUAACACUAAGUCUUUUAGCAAACGUAGUUCUAACAGAAUUAUUAUAGUGUCGAAAUCAUUUUUAUAUAUUUUAAAUCGAAAUUAUAAAUGACAGAAGUAUAGAAGAAGAUUUGGUGAGUUUUUUUAUAAUCAUGAUGAAGUCAUAUAUAUAGUGGAUGUCUUCUAGAAUGAUGAUUUGAAGACUAUUGUAGGUAGAUGUAUUUUAUAUAACGAUCAUUUUUGAUUGAAUAUAUUAUUAAAGAAAAUCUUAUGCCUUAUAUAAGCUUAAAUUUAUGGAUAGUUGAGUACUUUGUUCAAGUUUCGUCAGAAAUGUAUUUAUUAUUAAUAUUAUAGAUAUUGACGCUCACAGCAUAAUGUUUUAUUCAAGCUCCACAUGACAUUUUUACAUGUUUAAUACCCAACCGUUUUUACGCUAUCCUUAUGUAUCUAUAUAUAUACUGCCAUUUGUCAUUUAAAAAUGGUAUAUACCUAAUUUCUAUUACAUGAAAAUUGACGUUUACGACAUAUAUCAUUCAGACUCUACAUUACAUUGAAACUGUGAUAUUUUACAACAUAUAUUUAAUACAUUUUGCUGUCAUUUCAUUGCUUUGUGUGUUUAUGUUUAGUUUGACGUACAAUGAAGUUUUAUCACAUGCAUAUUUUUACAUUUCUUUCAUAAAACAUUUUAACAUGAAUAUGUCUUUAUUCAUUUUAGAAAUGCCAGUGAAUCAAAUUAAAGGUUUUACAAGUUUAA